UGCUUCAUGUUGACAGGGUAGUACUCUGAGACCAUAAUGGGUAUAGAUUCAGCAGUACCAAUUUCAUAUGAUUAACUUGCUUUAUUGCAAUUUCUUCAUUUCAAAAGCUCGUUGUUGCUUUCGUUGUAAGUUUCUUUUUCCGAACCUUUUCUGUUGGCUGUUGCGAUCGAAGCUUUUAUUAUCCAAUGAGUCAAAGAUUUCGGAACCUAUUCCCUUCGUUGUUGCGAUCAAAGCUUCAAUAUCUCGGUUCCGUUUUCUCAUUCCAGGGGUGUUGCCUAUUGAUCUUCAGGGACCAGCUUCUCUUCUUCCUCAGAUCAAUACUGCCCGAAAUCUCACCCUGGCCGAUGAAGGUGUGGUGGAAAACACACGAUUGGAGGUGCCUAAGAGUCUCUUCCAUUUCAGCCUCAGGGGACAAGGAAGAGGGGAACAACAGUGGAUGUACUAUUAUAGAGAUAGAGAGAGUAAGACAACAUUUCAUGGCAAAGUUGCAAUUAGUUCAUACCCUAAUUGAGAGUUGGUUUUGGAAAAGAUGGGGUCCCAAGUUAAGGGGUUGAACAGUUUUUUUGUCAUCCAUUGUAUUUCAAGUUAGGGGACCUUCAUUUCAAUUUGUGCCGGUGGGUAACGGCGUGCAUAGCAUCAACGAGAGUAUGACUAUAAGUAAUUCUCCACCUUUGAUCUCCACAGGCUUGUAUUAAAGAUAGCAUCCAUGGAUCCGCAGGGCCAGACAACUUAUUUGCAACGACUUCAGAAUGUGGAAAAGGUAAAAUGUUAAUAGCAUUAAGAAGCAAUGUUGCUGGAGUGACAGAACAAUUCUGUUUGUGCAAUGGAAGCUUGUGUGGGCAGAUAGUUUAUAUGCAAAGGAGGAAUAGAAAUUAUAUAGUAUUUGAUGAUGAUAGAUCAGUUUCAUGAACGUUUAAAGGAAAACCCUCUGGCAUUCGCUCGGUAGAUUUCUGUAUCCGUUUUCAUUCCGCAAUCAAGGCUUCCGUUUCAAUUCCACCCCCUCUUCAAACCCCCAGUCGUUUUGUUCCGGUAUAAAGAGAAGCUUGGAAAUUGGGUGUACAGAACAUGAAUCCUCAAGGACUGCAAUGGGUAGCAGGGCAUCGCUGAAGCCACCAGAAAGGUUCUCCGGACUCACAUUCUUUCGUCUCGGCGAUUUCAUGAGAGAUGUGUGAGAUGGCUGAGUAUGGCACGCGCAGCCCCUGCCUGCGGCGGAGAAAGGAACAACAGGGGAAAGAGUAAUAGAGAGGAAGCAUGAGAGACAAGUCCACGCAACUGAACAGACUCUCAAAUUCUCUGAUCUUGCUGCCCUCUAAUACCAGGUUUUGGAGAAUUUUUUCAAGCUCCGUAAUGCAAGAAAUAUGUUUUUUUCAGAAACUAUUAUAAAUUUUACCCAAGGUACUGCUCCUGUUCUUCCACCAUACUUCCGUUUAGAGUUGGUGCAAACUGAAAAAAUAAGUCACUUCUGAUUUUUACCAAUGUUAUCUUCCUGGAGCACUUUUAUAUGUUCCUGAUCAAUUUCACAUGUAAUGGAAAAAAGGCAUAGUUUUCUUGAUUUUUAUACUUUCAAAUAAUUUUGUUGUUUACAUAUUUCUUUUCUUAAGUAACUUCUUAACUGUUGCAAAAUAGCUUAGAAGACCUAUUCAACCUCUUGCAUUUCAUGGGGGCUGAUCCUUGGUGUAGCUGGGCAUGGUAUGGCCAAAAUAAUUUUGAUAUUUUUCUUUAUAUUCAACCUGUGAUACAUUUGUAUUUUAAUUCUGUGUAGGUCACACAGGCUGACUCAAAAGCCUUAUGAGAAUGGUGAUCUAUGAAUUUAGUUUGUUGUGCGUUUACUUAUUAGUACAUUAUUAUUUUCCCCAUCCUCUGGUGUGACCCACAUUGAUGGAAAAUUGUAUGGCAACAGUCAACAGAUAUGAGCCAAUUAUAUUCACAUUGUAACCUUUUUGCUGGGCAGAGUCAAUAUGAACCCCAGUAUAACAAAUUUUCAUUCUACUGUUGAAUAAGGAUUCAGUCCUUACUUAUCAUUUCCACAAUUUCAUCAACAUUUCUGUCAAAAUAUGUACAUGCUUGGAUUUGCUUAACUCACUCCUAGAUCUCUUUUUACAGACUCUACAGGUGAAUUUUUAACAUUGAGAGUGUGGAAAACCAGGGAGCCAUGGUGCUUAUUCAUGCAGUAUGGAGAGGAUAGUUAUUAGGCGGUGUCAUUCAUCACCGUCAUCACCUUCAUUGCUGGGAACCAAAGGAUUGUUGCUAGGACCCUGAAAAGAUGAAUGAGGGCCAUAACCAAGAGGGGGGUAUAAUGGCUGAUUUGAGUACCAAAUGCAGAGCUAAUUGGUAAAAAUAUAAAGAUAGAGAACAUUCUGAUGGAUGAUAGUCUCUGCAAAAGUUAGUGGAUGGCAUCAAAGGUUUGACAUAUUCUCAUAAAUUUGUGCCACAAGUAGAGGAGCUAAAAUAUGAGUUGGAGAGGUUUUUCAGAAGCUGCAUCACCAACACUAAGUGGCACAACCGAUCCUUCUCUCAGGGGAACUUGCACAUACAAAUCAUUGAAGACUGCAGUUCAGAUCACCAUCAAUUGUCUCAGCAAUGUUUCCAGUAAUCACCCUUCAAUAGCAAGAGAAUAUCAUGGUUGCGAAAAAAGUGGGUUGAUCUUCUGUGCUUAAACACUGGUGGUGCGUGCAUAGAAGAAUGGAUGAUGCUGAGGCCAUGGAGUAGACACUUGAUCACUUGGACACUGCACAGAAAGAGUUUCACAACUGAUUUUUUAUUUUGCCCAAGUUGAUAUUUCUUUAUUUUAAACUAUAUUCAUAUAAAUGAUCAGAUUUUAUGUCUUGGAGAAAUUACUGACAUAACUUCAGUUUCUGUUGUUUAUCA